rnacentral:tRNA from 1 species
GCCGAAAUGGCUCAAUUGGUAGAGCAACUGACUUGUAAUCAGUAGGUUCCGGGUUCAAGUCCUGGUUUCGGCACCA